GACGAAUUAGAAUGGGAAUCAGAUGUUUGGCGCGAACCACAGAAACAGGGCCAGGAAGAAGAGGUUCUGGUGAAGUGGCUGCAGGUUAGUUCUGCAGGGUGAACACAGACGUCAAGGGCCUCACGCACUGAGGACAAAUCACCUGGAGAACCGGAAUCAGCCACUUCAGCCUCCGUCUUAAGCUUGAAUCCUGUGUGCCCACUGGCUGUUGGAUCCUGCAGGCAUCUCAAACUCAGUAUUUCCGAAACCAGUUUUCAAAACCGAGUUCAUCUUUGUACCUGCUCCCUCAUCUCCUCCC
rnacentral:lncRNA from 1 species